GAGGGUGUAGCUCAAGUGGUAGAGCGCAUGCUUAGCACGCACGAGUCCUGGGUUCCAUCCCCAGUACCUCCU
rnacentral:tRNA from 1 species